rnacentral:rRNA from 1 species
GGCCCCUAGACGAAGAUUAAAUGGUAGGGGUCGGGCCUGCCCGGUGCCGAGAGGUAAACGGCCGCAGUUCGCAGCUGUGCUAAGGUAGCGCAAUAAAUUGUCCUUUAAUUGGGGAAGGGUAUGAAUGGUUUGACGUGGGGUAAGCUGUCUCCCUCUUAAAUAGUGAAAUUUACUUCCCGGUGAACAGGCCGGGAUAUUUGUAAAAGACGAGAAGACCCUGUCGAGCUUGGAUCAUUGUAGCGACUUAGGCACGCUGCAGCAAGUUUUACUGGGGCAGUAGGGAGGUAGAAGUAAUCCUCCACUUAACUGGAAGGAUCCUUGCUCUUGGGGUAGCAGGAGUACCAUACGAUGGUAGUAUGCCAUAUAUAUGGUGGUAUUCCGACAGAGAGUCUGUAUGGUAUUCAUUUUGAGUGGUAGUAACACACUAAUACACGUAUGAUUGGGAUCUUUACAUAACAAUAUACAACAUACAUUGACUAGAUAUUAUUUGUAUUCUUACUUUAAUAUUUCUAUUAGGUGGCUGGCUCCGGACACAGUUGGUUUCAGCAUGCCGAUCUCAGGAGUGAGACAAGAAGAAAAAGUUACCGCAGGGAUAACAGCGUAAUCCUUCUCUGGAGGGCUAAUCGAAGGAAGGGUUUGCGACCUCGAUGUUGGAUUUGGGUUACUUUUCGGGUGCAGGAGCUAUAGGAGUGGGACUGUUCGUCCUUUGAAGCCCAACA